rnacentral:rRNA from 1 species
CAGGCUUAACACAUGCAAGUCGAGGGGCAGCAUGGUCUUAGCUUGCUAAGGCCGAUGGCGACCGGCGCACGGGUGAGUAACACGUAUCCAACCUGCCGUCUACUCUUGGACAGCCUUCUGAAAGGAAGAUUAAUACAAGAUGGCAUCAUGAGUCCGCAUGUUCACAUGAUUAAAGGUAUUCCGGUAGACGAUGGGGAUGCGUUCCAUUAGAUAGUAGGCGGGGUAACGGCCCACCUAGUCUUCGAUGGAUAGGGGUUCUGAGAGGAAGGUCCCCCACAUUGGAACUGAGACACGGUCCAAACUCCUACGGGAGGCAGCAGUGAGGAAUAUUGGUCAAUGGGCGAGAGCCUGAACCAGCCAAGUAGCGUGAAGGAUGACUGCCCUAUGGGUUGUAAACUUCUUUUAUAAAGGAAUAAAGUCGGGUAUGGAUACCCGUUUGCAUGUACUUUAUGAAUAAGGAUCGGCUAACUCCGUGCCAGCAGCCGCGGUAAUACGGAGGAUCCGAGCGUUAUCCGGAUUUAUUGGGUUUAAAGGGAGCGUAGAUGGAUGUUUAAGUCAGUUGUGAAAGUUUGCGGCUCAACCGUAAAAUUGCAGUUGAUACUGGAUAUCUUGAGUGCAGUUGAGGCAGGCGGAAUUCGUGGUGUAGCGGUGAAAUGCUUAGAUAUCACGAAGAACUCCGAUUGCGAAGGCAGCCUGCUAAGCUGCAACUGACAUUGAGGCUCGAAAGUGUGGGUAUCAAACAGGAUUAGAUACCCUGGUAGUCCACACGGUAAACGAUGAAUACUCGCUGUUUGCGAUAUACUGCAAAGCGGCCAAGCGAAAGCGUUAAGUAUUCCACCUGGGGAGUACGCCGGCAACGGUGAAACUCAAAGGAAUUGACGGGGGCCCGCACAAGCGGAGGAACAUGUGGUUUAAUUCGAUGAUACGCGAGGAACCUUACCCGGGCUUAAAUUGCAGAUGAAUUACGGUGAAAGCCGUAAGCCGCAAGGCAUCUGUGAAGGUGCUGCAUGGUUGUCGUCAGCUCGUGCCGUGAGGUGUCGGCUUAAGUGCCAUAACGAGCGCAACCCUUGUUGUCAGUUACUAACAGGUUCCGCUGAGGACUCUGACAAGACUGCCAUCGUAAGAUGUGAGGAAGGUGGGGAUGACGUCAAAUCAGCACGGCCCUUACGUCCGGGGCUACACACGUGUUACAAUGGGGGGUACAGAGGGCCGCUACCACGCGAGUGGAUGCCAAUCCCCAAAACCUCUCUCAGUUCGGACUGGAGUCUGCAACCCGACUCCACGAAGCUGGAUUCGCUAGUAAUCGCGCAUCAGCCACGGCGCGGUGAAUACGUUCCCGGGCCUUGUACACACCGCCCGUCAAGCCAUGGGAGCCGGGGGUACCUGAAGUGCGUAACAACGAGGAGCGCCCUAGGGUAAAACUGGUGACUGGGGC